rnacentral:lncRNA from 1 species
CUGAAUACCGAAAUAGAAACUUGACCUGUAUACCAAAAUAAAUGGUAACACAGGGAUAACCAUGGCCGGAACACCACAUCCGCUGGGGAUUAUUAUUACUUCUUUUCUUUUUUACUUUUCUUGAACCCCGAAACUUUCUGAUGAUUUCCUCUUUUUAGUUUUCUUGAACCCCGAACGAACAUUUUCUUUUGCGCGAAUGAUCCCGGAUCACCGCGGUUGAAC